UAAACACCUGGGGCCAGAUUUGAUAGUGAAUCUGGAAAUUAAUUCAUUUACACCAGCAGUGAGACUGUGAAGUUUUUGGGCUUCAAGAGCAGCUCCACUAUUGACCCAUGCAGGGUAUUUCAUCCCCUGGCUGAGCAUGAAGCCCAUUUCCUCCCCAGAAUUUUGCAUUUGGACUGGAGGCCAAAUUCGUGAGAGCUGACGGCACAGCAGCUGCCUCAGGAAUCCGUGUUGUAUGGGCACCUGGAAGGAUCCAGCCAGGCAGAAGUGCCAGUGACACACAUGCAUUUCCUACUUGGUGUGCAAUUUGCUGUCACUUCUCCCACCCGUCAGCAGACAUUGAACUGGCAACAUUUCCCUACAGAACAGCUCUGAAUCUGUCUGAAUCUGAAAAAAAAAAAAAAAAAAGGAAUUCCUUGACCCACAGCCAGCCUGUGAGGAAGCAGCACAUUGCAAAGAUGAAGGUGCAGCCCCUGGCAGCAGCUCUGCUCCCUCUGCAGCCUCCCUGGAGCUCGCUCCUCCUGCCCAGGCUCUCCGCGGGACUGCAGAGCCACAGCAGCAUCGGGGCAGGGCCCCGGCCACCAGCACCAAGGCUGCCUUAACCUGCACAGAGCUGGGGCUAAAUGCUACAGCUGGCAUGGAGAGGAACUGAACUGGCUUGAACAGCCACAAUAUUAUUUUCAAGGAGUCUAAAGGAAAAAAAAGGAGCCAACAUGAGCUCUGUGCAGCAAAGAGAAAGGGCACAAACAGGGACCACACAAGAUGGAAAACAAUUGGGCCAUGAGAGUCACAAUGUUGAAGGACACGGAGUAAAAACUACAAGAACAGACUUUCCUAGUGAAUAUGUGCAAAUAACUGCAAAGCCCAGACUGCCCUGAAGAGUGAUAUCAAAGGAUUCAAUUAAAGAUAGAAAGGAUUUAUUGCUUCCACAGUUUUACAACAGAG